UAAGAAAUUUAAAGCAAUUAAGGGCGUAUGGUGAAUGCCUAGACGAUAAGAGGCGAAGAAGGACGUGGUAAGCUGCGAUAAGCUUCGGGGAGCCGCACACAGGCGCAAUAUCCGAAGAUUUCCGAAUGGGACAACCCGCUAUGUUGAAGACAUAGCACUCGAAAGAGAGCCAACCCGGAGAACUGAAACAUCUAAGUAACCGGAGGAAAAGAAAAUAACAAAUGAUUCCCCAAGUAGUGGCGAGCGAACGGGGAAGAGCCUAAACCAGUCUUGCGUGCAGGAUUGGGGUUGUAGGACUGCUUUUAGAUAAUCAACUAGAACUCGAAUAACCUGGAAAGGUUAACCGCAGGGCGUGAAAGUCGCGUAGAGGGACAAGGUUGAGGACGUGCAGUAUCCUGAGUAGGGCGGGACCAGAGAAAUCCUGUCUGAAUCUGCCGGUACCAUCCGGUAAGGCUAAAUACUCCUUAUCGAUCGAUAGUGAACCAGUACCGUAAGGGAAAGGUGAAAAGCACCCUGAAUAAGGGAGUGAAAUAGUACCUGAAACCGUACGCCUACAAGCGGUCGGAGCGCAAGUGACGACGUGCCUUUUGCAUAAUGAUCCUACGAGUUGCUACUUACUGGCAAGGUUAAGUUCUUAAGUAACGGAGCCGCAGCGAAAGCGAGUCUUAACAGGGCGCACAGUCAGUAGGUGCAGACGCGAAACUUUGUGAUCUAUCCAUGGGCAGGUUGAAGGUGUGGUAACACACACUGGAGGACCGAACGGGUUAACGUUGAAAAGUUAUCCGAUGACCUGUGGAUAGGGGUGAAAGGCCAAUCAAACUGAGAGAUAGCUCGUUCUCUCCGAAAUGUUUUUAGGAACAGCGUCACAUAUAAGAAGUUUAUUAGAGGUAGAGCUACUGAUUGGACUAGGGGGCUUCACCGCCUACCAAAUCCUGACAAACUCCGAAUGCUAAUAAAUAUCUGUGGCAGUGAGGCUGCGGGCGCUAAGGUCCGUGGCCGAGAGGGGAACAACCCAGACUAUCAGCUAAGGCCCCUAAAUCUACGUUAAGUUGGUUAAACGAUGUUCAAAUCCUAAGACAGCCAGGAUGUUGGCUUGGAAGCAGCCAUUCAUUUAAAGAGUGCGUAACAGCUCACUGGUCGAGGGUUCGGGCGCGGAAAAUGAUCGGGCAUCAAACGUAGUGCCGAAGCUAUAGGAUUUAUGUUUACAUAAAUCGGUAGGAGAGCAUUCUAUUUGCGUCGAAGGUGUAUGGUGAUGUAUGCUGGAGCGGAUAGAAAAGAAAAUGUAGGAAUGAGUAACGAUAAACAAGGUGAAAAACCUUGUCGCCGAAAGACUAAGGGUUCCUGAUCAACGUUAAUCGGAUCAGGGUUAGUCGGGACCUAAGGCAUACCCGAAAGGGGAAGUCGAUGGAUAACUGGUUAAUAUUCCAGUACUCGGUAUAAAUUCGAUGGGGUGACGCAGAAGUGAAAGGUCCGCGAUCUUACGGAAUAGAUCGUUAAAGGGUGUAGUUAUAGGUCUGGUAGGCAAAUCCGCCGGACUUGAUGAACCUGAUAGUACCACAAAGCUACGGCAGCGUGGAUAGUGACUGUAAUCAGACUGCCGAGAAAAACCUCUAAGGUUCGUUUAUACCGACUCGUACCGUAAACCGACACAGGUAGUCGAGAUGAGUAUUCUAAGGCGCUCGGGUGAGCCGUGGAGAAGGAACUAGGCAAAUUAACGCUGUAACUUCGGGAUAAAGCGUACCACAGCGAUGUGGUCACAGUAAAAUGGUGCAACCAACUGUUUAGCAAAAACACAGGGCCCUGCAAAAUCGAAAGAUGACGUAUAGAGCCUGAUACCUGCCCGGUGCUGGAAGGUUAAGGAAGCUUGUCAACCGCAAGGUGAAGCUUGCGACUGAAGCCCCAGUAAACGGCGGCCGUAACUAUAACGGUCCUAAGGUAGCGAAAUUCCUUGUCGGGUAAGUUCCGACCUGCACGAAUGGUAGAAUGAGUUGCACACUGUCUCCUCCACGAGCCCGGUGAAAUUGUAGUAUCGGUGAAGAUGCCGGUUACCCGCCACGGGACGAAAAGACCCCGUGAACCUUCACUACAACUUUGCAUUGAUUUUGGGUACCAGAUGUGUAGGAUAGUUGGGAGACUAUGAAGCAGGCACGCCAGUGUUUGUGGAGUCAACGUUGAAAUACCAACCUUCUGUUACUUAGAGUCUAAUCUGCGCAAGCGGAGACAUUGCAUGGUGGGUAGUUUGACUGGGGUGGUCGCCUCCUAAAGUGUAACGGAGGCUCGCAAAGGUUCCCUCAUUACGGUUGGUAAUCGUAAGUAGAGCGUAUUAGUAUAAGGGAGCUUGACUGUGAGACUGACUAGUCGAUCAGGUGCGAAAGCAGGCUAAAGUGAUCCGGCGGUUCCGUAUGGAAGGGCCGUCGCUCAAAGGAUAAAAGGUACUCCGGGGAUAACAGGCUGAUCUCCCCCAAGAGCUCAUAUCGACGGGGAGGUUUGGCACCUCGAUGUCGGUUCGUCACAUCCUGGGGCUGGAGAAGGUCCCAAGGGUUGGGCUGUUCGCCCAUUAAAGUGGCACGUGAACUGGGUUCAGAACGUCGCAAGACAGUUUGGUCUCUAUCUGUGGUGGGCGUUAGUAAAUUGCGAGGACAUGACCUUAGUACGAGAGGACCGGGUUGUAUGUACCGCUGGUGUAUCUGUUGUGCCGCCAGGUGCAGUGCAGAGUAGCUAUGUACAGAAAGGAUAAGCGCUGAAAGCAUCUAAGCGCGAAACCUACCUUAAGAUGAGUUUACUUUUAAGUGCCGUCGAAGACGACGACGUUGAUAGGCUAUAGGUGUAAAGGUGGUAACAUCAAAGCCGAGUAGUACUAAUUGCACGUACGCUUUAUACU
rnacentral:rRNA from 1 species